AGGUGAGGAAGUUGGCUGGAGGGGUUCAGUGAUGUGUAUAAGAUGGCAGGGACACAUUGAAAGGACAUCUGCCUGAAGUGAAAAGUGUAAAAUCCUAGGCUUUCAGCUCAAUAUCAAGAUUCUCUAGGAUUCGUCUCCAUCCUUCCUUGAUCUGGACUUUUUUCCCACCUUGCCCCACUUUGAGGGCAUAACUCAUACAACCUGUCUAAGGGCCAGCCCACAUACAGAAGUGAGGGGGAAUUGCUGAUUGGUGGUCUGAAGAAUGGACACUUUUCAGUUCUCCAACACUUCCCAUCUGUAUCAGGCUGCAACCGAGCUCUUCCUAUCAUCCUGUAAGCUGUUCCUCACUCCCUCCUCCUCCAUAGGAUUUGUGUUGGAGUCUGUGGAGCAUCGUUGAUCAUCUUGGCCACUUGUGGUAUACAC